rnacentral:rRNA from 1 species
CCUACGGGUGGCAGCAGUGGGGAAUAUUGGACAAUGGGCGCAAGCCUGACCCAGCAACGCCGCGUGAAGGAAGAAGGCUUUCGGGUUGUAAACUUCUUUUCUCAGGGACGAAACAAGUGACGGUACCUGAGGAAUAAGCCACGGCUAACUACGUGCCAGCAGCCGCGGUAAUACGUAGGGGGCAAGCGUUAUCCGGAUUUACUGGGUGUAAAGGGUGUGUAGGCGGGAUGGCAAGUCAGAUGUGAAAACCACGGGCUUAACCCGUGGCUUGCAUUUGAAACUGUCGAGCUAGAGUACUGGAGAGGAAGGCGGAAUUCCGAGUGUAGCGGUGAAAUGCGUAGAUAUUAGGAGGAACACCAGUGGCGAAGGCGGCUUGCUGGACUGAAACUGACGCUGAGGCGCGAAAGCGUGGGGAGCGAACAGGAUUAGAUACCCGUGUAGUC